rnacentral:rRNA from 1 species
GACGAACGCUGGCGGCGUGCCUAAUACAUGCAAGUCGAACGAGUGGCGGACGGGUGAGUAAUGUCUGGGAACGUGCCCGAUGGAGGGGGAUAACUACUGGAAACGGUAGCUAAUACCGCAUACCAUCGGAUGUGCCCAGAUGGGAUUAGCUAGUAGGUGGGGUAACGGCUCACCUAGGCGACGAUCCCUAGCUGGUUUGAGAGGAUGACCAGCCACACUGGAACUGAGACACGGUCCAGACUCCUACGGGAGGCAGCAGUGGGGAAUAUUGCACAAUGGGCGAAAGCCUGAUGCAGCCAUGCCGCGUGUAUGAAGAAGGCCUUCGGGUUGUAAAGUACUUUCAGCGAGGAGGCGUUACUCGCAGAAGAAGCACCGGCUAACUACGUGCCAGCAGCCGCGGUAAUUC